rnacentral:rRNA from 1 species
CUACAGGGGUAUCUAAUCCUGUUUGCUCCCCACGCUUUCGCGCCUCAGCGUCAGAACCGGGCCAGAGAGCCGCUUUCGCCACCGGUGUUCCAGCCAAUAUCUACGAAUUUCACCUCUACACUGGCUAUUCCACCCUCCUCUCCCGGUCUCCAGCCGCCCCGUAUCGGAUGCCGUUCCGGGGUUGAGCCCCGGGCUUUCACAUCCGACGCAAGCGGCCGCCUACGCGCCCUUUACGCCCAGUAAUUCCGAACAACGCUAGCACCCUCCGUCUUACCGCGGCUGCUGGCAC